rnacentral:rRNA from 1 species
UGCGCAGGCGGAAUGAUAAGUCAGUGGUGAAAGCCUACAGCUUAACUGUAGAAUUGCCAUUGAUACUGUCGUUCUUGAGUACAGUUGAAGUGGGCGGAAUGUGUCAUGUAGCGGUGAAAUGCAUAGAUAUGACACAGAACACCGAUAGCGAAGGCAGCUCACUAAGCUGAAACUGACGCUCAUGCACGAAAGCGUGGGGAGCAAACAGGAUAGAUACCCUGGUAGUCC